rnacentral:rRNA from 1 species
UACGGAGGGUGCAAACGUUGCUCGGAAUUAUUGGGCGUAAAGCGCACGUAGGCGGCCGAUUAAGUCGGGUGUGAAAGCCCAGGGCUCAACCCUGGAAGUGCACUCGAAACUGGACGGCUUGAAUAUGGAAGAGGGUUGCGGAAUUCCCGGUGUAGAGGUGAAAUUCGUAGAUAUCGGGAGGAACACCAGUGGCGAAGGCGGCAACCUGGGCCAAUAUUGACGCUGAGGCUCGAAGGCGUGGGGAGCAAACAGG